CUUUGAGGACAUUUUAGUGGGAUUAAAGAACUAUCCAGAGGAAAUCACCUGGCAGAGUUCCAGUUGCUGGACUUUAUUUAAUGGCAUCGUCUAGUCAAAAGGUGAGAUUAUCACAGUGAUACAUAAGUUUUAGAUUAGAAACAUUAACACCAGAUGUUCCAAUCAGAAGUUACAUAAACAGUGCUCUUGAGAUUAUGACUUCCUGAGGGUGUUUAACUGGUGCCUCGGUGUCAGCCGCAACUGAUUUAUCAAAAACAGUUCGUCAUUAGUCAGCCAUCAUAGUUGUCUGCUCUCUGUUGGUUGAAAUCAAAGGACUUCAUGAAUUGCGGUGUUUCCUGAUCAUGACAGAUGAAAACUUGGAAAUUGAAAAGUAUCGUCUGUCCUGAGGAAUUGGUGUGAAAUUUCUUGGCAAUUCAUAGGAUCGUGCACACAAAAGGUUACCUGCUUGAAUUUGUUUUCAGAGUACUGCAAUGAUGUGCAAAAUACUGCUGUAACACAGAAGUAGAGGAAUUUUCUGAAGAGCGGGCUGAUCGAAACAAUGGAAGGGAGGAUUUAGUUAACUUGGAGAAACAUACUCGAGUUCAAUAUUAUGAAAAGUCUCAGUUACUGCUUUUUCAAGGAAUUUCUGAAUUGCGGGCCAACUGACACAAUUGAAAUGCUCAGGCCAAAAAUCUCAAAGGUAAAGUGACUAAAGCCAAGUGGCCCAUAUGGAGGUGACCGGAAAAAAGAAACUGAAUGACUUUUUCUUGAAUUGUACUCCAGUUCCUCAUAUAAUUGAUUCAGCAGGAGAUGGAAACAGUAUCGCAGAAGAAGAAAAUUGUUAAUCUGCAGCAAGAAGCUCGAAUCGAGAGAAGCAAGAUAUGCAUAUAAUCUAAAGAAAGCCAUGAAAAUGAUCCAAGUUGAUCACAACUGCAAAGCACUAAACUAAAUUAAGCACAACAAUACAAGAGCAGCCCUUUCCACAGAAAUGUCUGCUUUUUGUACACAAUCAGUGAAGAACAAAGCCUAGUUAACUGUUAAAAAGAACUAAAAAAGGGGAAGAUUGGAGAAUGUGACUUCUCUCUUGUUGCAACUUUGCCUUUUCACUGGCUUCGAGGUACUACAUAUCUCAAUGCUCAAUCUUUUUUUUUUUCUUUUAUAAGUCUACCCUUUAACAUCUUCUUUACAGGGAGUGAGAAAAAAGAAAAAGUU